rnacentral:rRNA from 1 species
UACGAAGGGGGCUAGCGUUGUUCGGAAUUACUGGGCGUAAAGCGCACGUAGGUGGAUUGUUAAGUUAGGGGUGAAAUCCCAGGGCUCAACCCUGGAACUGCCUUUAAUACUGGCAAUCUCGAGUCCGAGAGAGGUGAGUGGAAUUCCGAGUGUAGAGGUGAAAUUCGUAGAUAUUCGGAGGAACACCAGUGGCGAAGGCGGCUCACUGGCUCGGUACUGACGCUCAUGCACGAAAGCGUGGGGAGCAAACAGG